CGAGCUCGAUCCAGAGAGUUCAGAAGGCCGUUACGAUAUAAACGAUCUCCGUCAAUGAAUGCGAUUGGAUUUAACUUUUUUAGGUGUCCUUAGCUCUGCCAGAAUGCUAAACGAAGACGAAAAUGUGUUGCAAAGACAUCCAAAAGGUUUUAAGGAGAAUGCAACAGGUUCCAGGGCCUCUUACCUGCGUGAUUCAUCAUCCAGAUAUGCUUGGAGCUUCCUGAUUGGAAUGUUGGCUUCCGACGACCCCUGCACUGAAGAUGGCAUGCAAUCACGUCCUCCUUUGAAGGU